AACCAGCACCUCAAGUGGUCAGGAUGAUUAUUGGGCCUAAAGCAUCCGUAGCCCGUUUGUUAAGUUUACGGUUUAAGUACACUGCGCUUAACGUAUGGGCUGCCGGGAAUACUGCAUAACUAGGAAGUGGGAGAGGUAGACGGUACUCGGUAGGAAGGGGUAAAAUCCUUUGAUCUAUUGAUGACCACCUGUGGCGAAGGCGGUCUACCAGAACACGUUCGACGGUGAGGGAUGAAAGCUGGGGGAGC
rnacentral:rRNA from 1 species